GUUCGAUCACUGAUUCCGUGGUCAGUUAUGACUACAGUUACUCCUUUAUCCAGGCAAUAAUAACUAAUUUGGGUAAUAACCUGCCCGAGAAUGGAUAAAACAAUCAGGACAGGUCUCAGACUUUCCAAGACUGUGCAUGAAAAGGAAACAUGCAACAGAGAUCAAGAGCCAUCUCAGGGGUGCCAUUUUAGGAGCAAGUUGCAGAUGCAGGGUAGAGGGAUGCAAAUGAAACAAGAAGUUGGUUGCAGAAGAAGUGGAUGAUGAGUUCUGCAGUAUUUAUAGAGCUAAACAAGCAAAUUGCCUCCUGUUCGGUAAAAUCUAUGACUUUGACAUUCUGCUCAAGUUCGAUUUGAAUUAAUGAAUUCUGUCAAGUUGGUACCCA